rnacentral:rRNA from 1 species
UACGUAGGGGGCAAGCGUUGUCCGGAUUUAUUGGGCGUAAAGAGCGUGUAGGCGGCUUUACAGGUCCGUUGUGAAAACUCGAGGCUCAACCUCGAGACGCCGGUGGAAACCGUAAAGCUAGAGUCCGGAAGAGGAGAGUGGAAUUCCUGGUGUAGCGGUGAAAUGCGCAGAUAUCAGGAGGAACACCCGUGGCGAAAGCGGCUCUCUGGGACGGUACUGACGCUGAGAGACGAAAGCUAGGGGAGCAAAUGGG